rnacentral:lncRNA from 1 species
CUCCUCCAGCUUCUCCGCCGCCGCUUGCAACCCGCAACCCCUCUGCCGGCCGAACCUCGUCCAGCUUCUCCGCCUCCGCCUGUGCUUUCCCCGCUCCCAAACUAUCCAACUGAAAUUGGUCAGGCGCUCAGGCCUUCUUUUCCUUUCACCUCAUACCAGGUCAGUUGCCUUUGCUAUCUCUCUCUUUGUUGACAUUGGUUUUUCAUUAAAUUUUUUUCAAGUUUUUUGGUCUAGCUGUGGUACUUGGCAAGAAAUUUUCCAUAAAUUUAUUUUGGCCACAGAGUUUUGAUUAACUCUGCUGCUUGAACAAGCUUUUUUGGUGUAGUUGUGGUCUUUACUUUCUUAUUAUGAAUCUGCAUUGAUGAGGAGUCGACUGCUUCGUGAUAAUCAUUUCAAUUCUAGAUUUCUAAUAAUUUCGUGUUCAGCUUUGUAAGUAUCUGUAAUAUCGCCUAGUUUGUUAGUGUUGAGCUGCUCACAUGAGAGAUUCUUCCUUAAUUUCUUGCUCGUGCUUUAUGUUGAAAUCGUUAGAUUUAUUUCAUGUAGAGAAAGAAAUUUUGCUUAUGUUCAUCAUCAUUACACUUGACAUGCAGCAAGGUGCACUAUUUGUUUCUUUAGAGUUAUUAACUUCUUAUCUUAGACUCAUUAUUUUGCAAUGAUGUAGUUUCUAGCUAACUUUUUUUAACUAGACUCCUGAGUGAUAUUAGAUUGUGUAAGGAUGGAAUCUUAAUGUGAUAUUAGGUGCUUAGUCGAAAAGCUGCUUGCUGAUGCACUUAAUGUGAAUUAGGCUAUAAUAUUACUGUGGUUAAUUUCCUGCUGCAGUGACUGUGGUAAUCACAUUUAGAUUUUCACUUGCGUGUGUUGCAAGAACAAGUUUUUGGUGACAUUAUUUGCUUAAGUGACUAUGUCAAUUGUGUUAACUUUAAUGCUUGGUUCAGUCAAAUUCAUAAUAAAUGGAAUAAUAUAAAUAUUUUUUUUAGACAUGUUCAAAUAAAUGAUACUUGUAUUUUCAUUACAGAUCAACUUAUAGUUGUGCAGCCGUCAGACUUUGUUGCCAUAUUCACUUGAUUUUGCUGAAAGGUUAGUCUUUCGCAAUUUUAUUUAGGAUUAUAUAUGUUGAUUGAAUUUGUAUAAGCAUGAUUAUGUGUUUGUAUUAUCGCCGGUGGGGGAGAGGCGAAGAGCAUGAUUAGAUAAGCAUGUAUCUAGGUAGUAAAUGGAGAUUAGGUUGGGAGAUGGUUGUGUUCCAUCUCAUUUUGUUGCUGUGGUGAUGGCUUGGAGCCGCGUAUAUGUUAUUUGUUUGAAUUUGUGUACUUUAGGCAUUUGUUCGAUAACUUGGUAGAAAAUAAAAAUAGGGAAUGUUUUUUUUAUCGACCCCUAGUAGAUUAUAUAAAUUAUGACUUUAUAUUCUUUAGGUAUUUGUUGAAAUGAGUGAAAAUCGUGAGUGGAUGUAUAGACGGUUUUUACCCGACGGAGCUUUCAACCCAGCAUUCGUUAGAGGUCUUCAAGAUUCAUUGAUUUUUGCUAACAGUAGAGAAGAUUUAAUGGAUGGACAUAAAAUUAGAUGUCCGUGCAGAAGAUGUGAUAAUAUAAAAUUUCAUACAUCGCGGAAUGUCCAAUACCAUAUUUCAAAGAAUGGGUUUGUGUUGAAUUAUCACAUUUGGAGGUUUCAUGGUGAAUUAGAAAUGAUGGCAACCGAAUAUAAUCAAUUUGAUGCUGCUGAUGAUGAUGACAAUGAAGAUGAUCAAAGCACAUACCACAAUAUGGUGAUAGACGUUGCUGCUUCACAAUUCAAUAUUGAACAGCCGCCUAAUCCUGAAGCACAACAAUUAUAUGAUAUGUUGAGUGCUGCAGAUAGGGAGUUAUGGCCUGGUUGCAACACUCAUUCACAAUUAUCUUUUGUGGCUCGUCUAAUGUGUUUGAAGGCAGAGGGGAACAUGUCCGAGAGAUGUUUUGACCAAUGGCUUGAAUUGAUAAAAGAAAUCCUUCCCGAACACAAUUUAGCUCCCAAUAACUUCUACAGCACAAAGAAGUUAUUAAGUGGAAUGGGGUUGCCAGUUGAGAAGAUUGACUGUUGCCGUAAUAAUUGCAUGCUUUUCUGGGGAGAGGAUAGCGAGGAUAUUGAGUGUAAGCAUUGCAACGAGCCACGUUACCAACAAAGUGAUACAUCUUCUGCGAGUAGUUCAAGGACUCUAGUAGCAGUAAAGAAAAUGUUCUAUUUUCCUUUAACUCCUCGAUUGCAGAGAUUGUAUGCAUCCAAAGCUACAGCUGCAGAUAUGCGUUGGCACGCAUCUUCAGUGGAUGAUGGAAUAAUGCGUCAUCCUGCAGACUCGCCUGCUUGGAAGCAUUUGAGUCAAAAGUUUCCAUCUUUUGCCGAAGAGAGUCGAAAUGUCAGAUUAGGAUUAUCGACUGAUGGUUUCCAACCUUUUGGUCAAUCAGGGCAACAAUAUUCUUCAUGGCCCGUGAUUGUUACACCAUACAACUUGCCUCCAUGGAUGUGUAUGAAGGAACAAUAUAUGUUCCUCACAGUGUUAGUUCCCGGGCCGCGCAAUCCUAAGGAAAAAUUAGAUGUUUUUUUGCAGCCUCUUAUAUCUGAGUUGAUACAGUUGUGGAAUGUGGGCGCGCCUACAUACGACGUGUCAAUGAAGCAGAACUUUCAGAUGCGAGCAGCUUUGUUAUGGACAGUUAGUGAUUUUUCGGCCUACUCCAUGUUGUCAGGAUGGAGUACUGCUGGCAGACUUGCUUGUCCACAUUGUAUGACAGAAACUGACUCCUUCACCUUGUCUCAUAGUGCUAAACAAUCAUGGUUCGACAAUCAUCGAAAGUUUUUGCCUAUGAACCAUUCCUUUCGAAGAGAUCGAAAAAACUUUUUGAAAAAUAAAAUUAUUACUGCAGUAGCACCUCAAGUGAGAUCGGGGGAAGAAAUAUUGUUUGAUAUAGAUAUGAUGGGAUUCGUCAAAGUAACAGAGGUGAACAGUGAAACAAUCAAUAAAGCAGCUGCUCGUGGUGUUGGCACAGGAUGGAAGAAGCGCAGUAUAUUUUGGGAUUUGCCUUAUUGGAAAUUCCUAUUGAUUCGUCAUAACCUUGAUGUCAUGCACGUGGAGAAGAAUGUCUUUGAUAAUGUGUUCAAUACAGUUUUGAACGUACCAGGAAGGACAAAGGAUACAAGCAAAUCUAGAGAAGAACUAAACACAUAUUGCUCAAGACCAGCACUUGAAAAGAAUGUUGAGACAAACAAGUAUCCAAAAGCUUGUUACAUGCUUGACACUAAAGAGAAGAAAGUAUUGUUUGAAUGGGUCAAAACUUUACGAUUCCCUGAUGGUUAUGUGUCAAAUAUGGGAAGAUGUGUCGACAUGAGCAAACUUAAGAUGUUUGGGAUGAAGAGCCACGAUUGCCAUGUGUUUAUGCAACGUAUUUUGCCAAUUGCCUUUCGUGAAUUGCUUCCGUCACAUGUGUGGAAGGCAAUCACUGAACUAAGUUUGUUCUUCAAGGAUUUGAGUUCUAGGAACUUGAGAUGUGAAGACGUGUGCCGCCUUAGUGACAACAUUGCUAUCACUUUAUGCAAGCUUGAGCGUAUCUUUCCACCCAGCUUCUUUGAUUCUAUGGAGCAUCUUCCAGUUCAUUUAGCUUUUGAAGCUCAACUUGCAGGGCCAGUUCAAUAUCGAUGGAUGUAUCCAUUUGAAAGAUAUUUGCGCAAGUUGAAAAACAAUGUAAGAAACAAAGCUAGAGUGGAGGGAUCAAUUUGCAAUGCUUACAUAGUGGAAGAAGCUUCUACUUUUUGCUCAUAUUACUUUGAGGAGCAUGUGAGGACGAGGUAUAGGAAUGUGCCUCGUAAUUUGAAUACAAGAGAUGAUGUGAGAUUUGAUGGACAUCCAGAUCGAAUUUCAGUUUUCAAGCAACCUGGGCAAUACUUUGGAAAAAUGACGAUGAGAUACUUAGAUGAAAAAGAGUAUCACGCUGCUCAUACUUAUGUUCUACUAAAUUGCAAAGAAGUGACACAAACAUAUCUCAAGUAAGUUAAGUUAAUAAAAUUGUCUUUCAUUUCAUAAUCAUAAAAUAUUAUGUAACUUAUGGUGUGUUUAAUUUAGGUUAUUCGUGGCUGAAUUGCGUGCAUUACACGUCUCAGAAGCUGAUAUUAACCGUCAGAUGGAAAUCCAAUUUUUAGAUUGGUUCCGAUCAUAUGUAAUAUGAGACUUAAAUUAUUCAUCUAGUAUUUACACAAUCAUAAUAUAGAUUCUAAUUUAUCUCAUAAUAUAGGUGUCAAAUCCUGCAAAUCACGUGGUUAAUGAGUUUCUAAUUGCUCUCGCAAAUGGCCCCCUAGUCACGGUGAAGACUUACCCAGGAUUUUAUGUAAAUGGAUAUAAAUUUCACACGAUGAUGCAUGGGACUAAUCGGGCUAGUAUGAACAGUGGUGUGUGCAUAAAAGGUGAAUGUUAUGGUUCAGAUGAGAAUGGUGAACUCGACUAUUAUGGGCGUUUGCUGGAGGUAUGCGAGCUUGAGUAUAUGGGUCUACCACUGAAGACGACCACACUCUUUAAGUGUGAAUGGUUUGAUCCAUCACCACGUGGGACAUCAGUGCAUCCUCAAUUCAAAUUGGUUUCAAUAAAUCAUACACGUAGAUAUGGUGGUUAUGAACCAUUUGUGCUAGCUGACCAAGCUAUUCAAGUAUAUUAUUGUAAAUACCCAAGUUUGAGAAGUGAUAGGAAGGAUUGGUGGGAAGUUUGUAAGAUUAAAGCUAGGUCGAAAGUUGAAGUUCCAAAUGCAGUGGAAGAGACUGUAGUGAACCAACCUUUUCAAGAAGAUGACUUAAUGACUCCAACAAACCCUGACAUAGAUGAUGACACCACAAUAGUGCAUCCUCGUGGUGGUUUGAUAGAUAUUGAUGAUGCCGGUGAGGAAGACGAAGAAGACACAUAUUUGACUGAUGAAGAAGAUAGAAACUGGGAUGAUAGUUUUUAGUGUCAGGUUUUAUGUAGAAGUUUUGUUUUAAUCAAGUCUUAUAUGUGAUUUCAUUAUAUCUUUUUAAAUAUCUUUUUUUUUGUUUGUUAAUCCUUUCAUUAUUAAUUUUAUACAGAUGGCUAGAGGAAGCAGUGACACGCACAGUGGUAGACGAGGGCGCGGUGAUGGUAGAGGGCGAUCAUCAUCCUCAGGGGCAUUCGUGAUUCAGUUGCCCAGAUACAGUUGGCUGGAGGUAGUGGAUCCGCUCCGACAUCAUCAGAAGAUACCGUGCCCAGCAGCCACUCGAGCACGGGGCGGAUUAUGUUGACCAUUACACCU